AUUGAACGCUGGCGGCAUGCUUUACACAUGCAAGUCGAACGGUAACAGGCCGCAAGGUGCUGACGAGUGGCGAACGGGUGAGUAAUGCAUCGGAACGUGCCCAGCCGUGGGGGAUAACGCAGCGAAAGCUGCGCUAAUACCGCAUACGAUCUAUGGAUGAAAGCGGGGGACCGAAAGGCCUCGCGCGAUUGGAGCGGCCGAUGUCAGAUUAGGUAGUUGGUGGGGUAAAGGCUCACCAAGCCAACGAUCUGUAGCUGGUCUGAGAGGACGACCAGCCACACUGGGACUGAGACACGGCCCAGACUCCUACGGGAGGCAGCAGUGGGGAAUUUUGGACAAUGGGCGCAAGCCUGAUCCAGCAAUGCCGCGUGCAGGAAGAAGGCCUUCGGGUUGUAAACUGCUUUUGUACGGAACGAAAAGGCUCUGGUUAAUACCUGGGGCUCAUGACGGUACCGUAAGAAUAAGCACCGGCUAACUACGUGCCAGCAGCCGCCGUAACAC
rnacentral:rRNA from 1 species